GCGCGUAACAUGGGGAUUUUAUUUGGUUUACUUGAAAAUCGUUCUGAUGCUGAUAAACCAAAAUUUGAGGUCCUUACCCAAGAUCUUCCACUACAACCAAAUUUAUAUGAUUGUGGCAUGUUGGUGUUGAGAUAUAUUGAGUUGUAGGAUGGUGAAACCAAAUUUGGUGACAAAUACUUCCCCGCCUACACUUCUGAUGAACUUCAAGAACUCAGACAACAUUACAUAUGUGAUUGGUUUAUGGACGACGACAAUAUCCACCGCAAUUACUGGCUUGAAGUCUUUGAUGUAUAUAAAAGUAAAUAGCUUUUGUUGACAUGAUUUGUAAAAUCUGAUACGAAGAUGACAAUGCUGA